rnacentral:tRNA from 1 species
GGCCGAUUAGCUCAGUCGGUUAGAGCAUGGCACUGAUAACACGAAGGUUGUGGGUUCGAUUCCCAUUUGGUCCC